rnacentral:lncRNA from 10 species
CUUUCAUAAGUCAGUCAAAAUGAUCGUCAUGUAAUUCAGCCCCAUGUUGUUUUGUAGGUCAAGAGACUGAGACCCAUUCAUUAAUCCUUGUGCAGGAUUCCCGCAGCUCAUCUGUGGCAAAGUGAAGCCCAGAACUCUUGAAGCUGGAUUCCUAUUUCUUUCAAGAUGCUCUCCACCUGCCUCCAAUAUCUUUGAUCUCACCCUUAUUCUGCUGAUUUCACUUAAUCAAAACUGACCUUAGAAGAGCUUCCCAACUCAUAUUUCCCUAAAGUAAACCCCAGGUGAGCCAGUUCCUGCCAUCUUCAGCUCCUCCCCAAUCCACGCCCAAGUUCAGACGUUUCAUCUUCUCCACACCAGUUCCUCAGGUAUCUGGACACAAGAUAGAGGCAGAAACGUGAGUGUGCCGAUCACAUUAUCUUCAACAUCCCUUGUUUCCUCAAGCUCCAAUUGAGUAAAUUAUAUCUGCAAUUUAACUCCUAAUCAAGAGGCCCUUGAGUCUGACUUCAGAGACUUAUUUUAUGGCUCUUCAUAUGUCAGGUAUGAAAAUGAAGGAUGUCUUACUUGCUUCACUGGGAUGCUCUCACGCAGUAAAUCACAGGGGCAUGGCAGUGAAAGGAGACUGUGUUUUAGGAAAUGAAAGGCAAAGGGAAGGAGCUGGCUUAUUGAAGGCAGGGAGAGAAGAGGGAACAGAAGGCAAAGGCCAGAAGCUCAGGUGUUUGCAAAUCGUGCUGCUGGAAUCCAGGCUGACACCAGGGAAAGAGGCAUUUCACGCUUGAUGUUUACUCACUGACAGUCCUGGGGCAAAUGAGCGCAGCUUUUACAGGCCAGGAACUCUCCAAUUAGAGAAGACAAGCCUCAACUCCACAAACCAGAGGCAAGAAUCUAGCUGACUCCUGCCCAUUUCAGUCUGGUUCCGUGCUCCACGGGAGACCUCCCAAUGGUUAUAUGGCUCCUCACCAAGCUUGCCUCCAGGGAGAGAAUGUGAUGCAGGAAGUCUCUUAAGUGUCCAAUUUCUCAGCAGUUGUCGUUCCCACGGUGAACUUUAAAACUGGCAUUCUGGUUUUACACUUCAGACUCUGCUGCCUGAGUGAAUCUCUUUCUAAGAGAUGGAUCUGCAAUUGAUGUGCAAAUAAAUUGCAUUUCUGGACCUGAAAGACUGAAAGCUAGAUUUUGAAUGGUUUAGAAUGCAUCCUGAAGCUACCUGGAUUUCUCUUAAUGAAACUCAAACCUUGAAGCUCACCUGUCCAAGCAGUGAAGCUUACACUGUCAUUCAUUAAUCUCCAUAUCCCUGUCUUUAAAUGGGAAAAUAUAUGCUAACUUCAAAAUUGGUAACAUACUAAGGAAUAUUUAGGGCACAAACCCAUGUGCAACUUGGAAACUACUGAUAAAGAAAUGGACGAGAUUCCAGGUCAAGAUGGCAGACUGCAUGAAUGCAUGAAGCCCUCCUCCCUUUCAAACCACAUAGGAAUACUGCAUAAUGUACAUGGUUUUUACAAAAUUCGAAAUGCAUAGCUAAGCCCAAAAGCAAGAAUGAGAACCUGCAGGUACCAGAAACAUUGCAAUGAGUAGAAGUUGAAACUGUUUAGCCAUGGAAGUAACUAAACCAGAUAUAUACCUGUGUGGGUAGAGGUUUUAAAGCCUCCAUGGGGGAUGGAGUUGAAGCCAAGGCUCCACAUUUGGCACAGGAGCAGAAACUGAACCCCUUAGCAGAAGCCAGGCACCAGUAAAUGUCUUUUCUGUCCUUGAAAUGGAAUUAGAAGAACUUUAUCACUGACUCAAACCCAUAGCCUUUAAGAAAUAGAACCCCUCAACCUCUCAAUUGGCCCUGCCUGAGACUAUGAGAUCAGAAUUCUUAACCUGACUGCCUACAAGGUGCAAAAACAAUGAGCCUAGAUAUAAAUGUAAAACUUUGGCCCUGAGAUUUUCUCUGUAGCCCCAAUAGAGGCAAUUAUGAAAAUUCUCAUGGAAGAGUCUCUGAAAGCCAGAAUAUGUGCCACAGGUGUAAAAAAUGGUUCAUGCUGAAGAUACAGUCCAGACAGCAUUUGAAAACAUCAAAUGCUAUAGGACAUCAUCAGCAAACAAUAAAUGGCCAUACCCAAGAAACCAUAAAUAAUAAAUCAAUAUGAGUGGAACUUUAAAAUAAGUUUACUUGAAAUAUACAUAUAUGGAGAAAGAAAUAAAGUCUAUCAGGCAUGAAAAAGAUAUAAUGAAAACAAAAAAGGUAGAUUCGAAAAAAGAACUACUGGAAAUUAUAGAAGUAAAAAAAAAAAUACAGUGAUUUGAGAAAAAUAUACAAUGGAGAAUUUAAACAGACAACUAGAGCUAGCCAAAGAGAGAAUUGGUGAACUGAAGUACACAGCUGGGCAAUCUCCCAAAAUAAGGCACAUAUAUAUAUACAUAUAUACACACAUACAAGCUGUUUUGACCUUAGCUAUGCAAUUUGAAUUUUGUAAAAACCAUAUACAUUACACAGCAUAUAUGCAUACACACACAAAUAGAAAAUAAAAAUGGAAAAAAAGAACUAUGAGCUCCAAGAUGCAUAAAAGGAGAAUUCUAAAAGGAGUGGGGAGAGAGAAUAAGUGUAGCAAUUGGAAGGUGUUAGGCUACAAGUAAUAGAAAUUCCAACCAACAGUGACUUACAGAAGAGGAUUAUUUCUGACCCACAGCAAGAAUUCUUGGGGAACAGGCUGUACAGAGCUAGAGCAGCAGCUCACCCCAAGCCAAAAAUAAACAAACAAAUAAAUAAGCAAAUAAAUUCUAGGUGGAUUAAAGAUAUAAACAUGAGAGAUAAACCUGAAAGUCAUUACAAGAAAAUAUUGGAAAAUAAUUCUAUGACCUACAGUAGAGAUUUCUAUAUAUUUUUUAAACAGAAAAAAAACAUAGCUUAAAUAGAUCAAAAAUUAAUUUUUUUGAAUCCUACUUCAGGCAAAAUUAAAAGCAACAGAUUUGGGGUAAAUGUUCACAGUCCACGUAACCUACAAAAAUUAGUAUCCAGAGUUUCUGUAGAUUAUAAAGGUAAAGAUAAACAAAGCAAAUACAAAUAGGAACAAAAGAUAGGAAAAUGCAAUCCAGAAAGGAGGGAUGACCCUGAGUGGGUAAUAAACAAAUGAAGCAGUAUUCAUCCUCGUGUCACUGGUGGUCAGGGAAGCGCAAAUUAAAACUGAGAUAAAAUCGCACAAUAUCAAAUGUUGAUGAGAAUGUGAUGAAACGUGAAGUGGAAACUUUAAGCCUCGCUAGAGCAGAGGGGCUGUAAUAUAAUACAUCCCCUUGGGAGAGCAAUCUGGCAAAGUCUGCUAAAACUGAAACUUUAAUAAUUACUUGUAUGCUUAUGCUAAAGAGAUUUUCUCAUGAGCACUCAAAGGUUAUAUAUUUAUAAGAAAUUUUUAGCAGCCUUGUUAAUAGUAGCAAUAAAUUAGAAAGAAUAAUUUUUAUCAAAAAUAAAAAUUGAAAUAAAUUUCAGUAUAUCCAAACAUAAAAUUGUUAAUUGUUAAAUUAAUUAAAUUGAGGUGCAUCAAGUGGAUAGCUACCAUAAACCAAACCAAGAAUGAAAAAGAGUUGCAGGGCCGAGCACAGUCACUCAUGCCUGUAAAUCCCAGCACUUUGGGAGGCCGAGGUGGCAGGAUCACUUGAGCCCAGGAGUUUGAGACCAGCCUGGUCAACAUGGAGAAGCCUCAUCUCUACUAAAAAUAUAAAAAUUAGCCGGGCGUGGUGGCACAUGCCUGUAAUCCCAGCACUUUGGAACUUUGGAAGGUUGAGGCAGGCAGAUCACUUGAGGUCAGGAGUUUGAGACCAGCCUGGCCAACAUGGUGAAUCCUGUCUCUACUAAAAAUACAAAAAUUAUACAGGCAUUGUGGCACAUGCCUGUAAUUCCAGUUACUCGGGAGGCUGAAUCAGUGGAAUAGCUUGAACCUAGGAGGCGGAGGUUGCAAUGAGUCGAGAUUGUACCACUACACUCCAGCCUGGGCAACAGAGUAAGACUCCCAAAAACAAACAAGCAAAUAUAUAUAUAUAUAUAUA